rnacentral:rRNA from 1 species
UCCGGGGGCAACUCCGGUAGUAAAGUGGCGAAAGGGCGAGUAAUCCAUGAUCAAUCUACCCCUUUGACGGGAAUAACGGAUGGAAACGGCCGCUAAGACCCGAUAAGCCAACGAUAAGGCAUCUUAUUGUUGGGAAACGGUUGGGAUCUUCGGACCUUCUGCUUAGGGAAGGGAUCAUGUCCUAUUAGCUAGUUGGUGGGGUUACGGCCCACCAAGGCUGUGAUGGGUAGCCGGCCUGAGAGGGUGGUCGGCCGCAUUGAGACUGAGACACGGCUCAGACUCCUACGGGAGGCAGCAGUCGAGAAUCUUCCGCAAUAGGCGAAAGCCUGACGGAGCGACGCCGCGUGGAGGAUGAAGGCCUUCGGGUUGUAAACUCCUGUCACCCGUUAAGAAUUGCAGGGCGUUAAUAGCGUUCUGCUUGACUAAGGCGGGAAAGGAAGCACCGGCUAACCCUGUGCCAGCAGCCGCGGUAAGACAGGGGGUGCAAGCGUUGCUCGGAAUCAUUGGGCGUAAAGCGCACGUAGGUGGUUGCGUAAGUCGGGUGUGAAAGCCCUCAGCUUAACUGAGGAACUGCGCCCGAUACUGCGUGGCUCGAGGAUGGGAGGGGAGAGUGGAAUUCCUGGUGGAGCGGUGAAUGCGUAAAUAUCAGGAGGAACACCGGUGGCGAA